AGCUCCAAUAGCGUAUAUUAAAAUUGUUGCAGUUAAAAAGCUCGUAGUUGGAUUUCUGGUACGGCGCACUUGGCCCGUCGCGGUUACGCGUAUGUGUGCCGGUGUGCGCCUGCCAUCCAUCUGGAGAACGCCGUCGCCCUUCACUGGGUGGGCGGUGGUAUCCAGAUCUUUUACUUUGAAAAAAUUAGAGUGUUUAAAGCAGGCUUGUGCUAUGAAUACAUUAGCAUGGAAUAAUAAUUUAGGACUUUGGUCUUAUUUUGUUGGUUUCUAGGACUAAAGUAAUGAUUGAUAGGGACAGUUGGGGGUGCUAGUAUUCAGCGGCCAGAGGUGAAAUUCUUGGAUUCGCUGAAGACUAACUUAUGCGAAAGCAUUCACCAAGGAUGUCUUCU
rnacentral:rRNA from 1 species